AGAAGUCUUAAAUAUUGCAAAUGCUGUAUAAUUUUUGCAGUUAUACAACACAUCUAACGCUAGAGUAAACUCUAUGUCUACAUUAACACGUUUCCCGUGGUAGCAUAGUCUUGUCUCCCGUGCUUGUCCCCUUGCACGCUCCACUCAGGCACGUAGGCCUUUUUCUCACGCUCACCAGGCUGGCCCCACAUCAAGGCCCACAUUGCACAGAUUGGAGCCUUUGCAAAUUCCUGCGCAGCCUGCCAUGAGUUCCUGAGGGUGGGGCUUGCUAGGGGUGUUGAGAAUUGGUGGGAUCACCAGCCAGUCCAGAUGCUGGAAGAGUAGCCAGCAGGUUCCCCAGCUGCCUGUCUCAUUGCCCUGAGAGGCAGUUAGGUGGUUGCAGAGAGACAGGUCCUAAAGGUUUGGUGACGAAAGAAUUGGAAACCAGGGGGCUAAGACUCUCCAGGAGCCGAAGCAUCGGUCCCCUGGCUCAAGCCUCUUUUAUUUUUGCAAAUUACCUGAUAACAGCGAGCACGUACAACAUAGUAUUUGGCAUCUUGACAGGCCGUGCACCUGCAGUAUAUUCCAUACUGGGUCAUGAGUACAUCUGGCAGCAGACCAAACAUUCUUAUCCCAGGCCUGGAGCCCGUAUGAUGUCCUUCUGGAGAGUACGAGCAGUCACGGCAGCCUUCCGUCCUGGGAAUGAAACUGCUUUCAGUUUUCUUGCUGCUCUGUCCCUUUCCUUCAGGACAUUCUUAUGGUGCCUCCAGCUUCUUGUUCUCCAAUGGGUGCUGGAAUCCUGUCUGCUCUCUCCUCUGCCCAUUCCACAUGACUUCCAGCGCUGUGCAGGGGUCUCGUCACCAGGACUCACCUGGAAUCACCAUGAACUCUUCCUCCAAGCUCCAUCUCCAGUGCCACUCCUUUUACGAACCUUCUCUGGCCAUUUAAUGUGCUCCAUUUAGCUCUCUGGCCUCAUGUUAUUUGCAACAUUCCUAUUUCCUUUUCAAUCUCUGCUUUGUACUAUAAUCACCGAAGGGCAUGUCCAUUUCCCUCACUAGACAGCAAGUUCCUUGAGGGCACUAUUGUAUUUUACACAACUUUCUAUGUCAUAUAAAACUUCCCACCUGGGUAAUUCAACAAUAAAUGAACAGACACAAAGACA
rnacentral:lncRNA from 1 species